rnacentral:tRNA from 1 species
GCGGGGGUGCCAGAGCAGGUCAAAUGGGCAGGGCUUAGGACCCUGUGACGCAGGUCUACGCGUGUUCGAACCACGUCCCCCGCA